GAUGAACGCUGGCGGCGUGCCUAAUACAUGCAAGUCGAGCGAACAGAUAAGGAGCUUGCUCCUUUGACGUUAGCGGCGGACGGGUGAGUAACACGUGGGUAACCUACCUAUAAGACUGGGGUAACUUCGGGAAACCGGAGCUAAUACCGGAUAACAUUUGGAACCGCAUGGUUCUAAAGUGAAAGAUGGUUUUGCUAUCACUUAUAGAUGGACCCGCGCCGUAUUAGCUAGUUGGUAAGGUAACGGCUUACCAAGGCGACGAUACGUAGCCGACCUGAGAGGGUGAUCGGCCACACUGGAACUGAGACACGGUCCAGACUCCUACGGGAGGCAGCAGUAGGGAAUCUUCCGCAAUGGGCGAAAGCCUGACGGAGCAACGCCGCGUGAGUGAUGAAGGGUUUCGGCUCGUAAAACUCUGUUAUUAGGGAAGAACAAACGUGUAAGUAACUGUGCACGUCUUGACGGUACCUAAUCAGAAAGCCACGGCUAACUACGUG
rnacentral:rRNA from 1 species